GACGUAGGGCGCGAGCGUUGUCCGGAUUUAUUGGGCGUAAAGAGCUCGUAGGCGGCUUGUCGCGUCGAAUGUGAAAACCCACGGCUCAACUGUGGGCUUGCAUUCGAUACGGGCAGGCGUAGAGUUCGGUAGGGGAGACGUGGAAUUCCUGGUGUAGCGGUGAAAAUGACGCAGAUAUCAGGAGGAACACCCGGUGGCGAAGGCGGGUCUCUGGGCCGAUACUGACGCUGGAGGAGCGAAAGCGUCGGGGAGCGAACAGG
rnacentral:rRNA from 1 species